UAACUGUAAAUUAGAGUUGAGAGUUUAUAAUAGUUACGCCAUCGUAAUUUUGAAAAAUUCAAAACAUUUUUUGUGCUUAAGUAAUUUUUUUUAUAAUACAAUACCUGUUUCUGCACGAGCAUUGCCACCAACUUUCUCCAGUACAUAUGUGAGCCACGACUUGGAUCCACCAUUCCAGUACGUUGUUAAAACGAAUCAAGUGCAAACGAGGAGAAUUCGAAACUGUGAAAAAUUCAAGUCACUUUUUGGGAACUUCAAUUUUCUUCAGCCAACCGUAUUCUUUAUCUUUCUGUGACACAUUCGCCCUUCCGUAGCGAAAACAUCUCAAAACGAAGCUAGGAAUGUAUUUAUCAGCAUAGUUUAGUAUUAACCCAGGAAGAAAGGUGACAAUUCCGAUAAUUAUAAACACAAUUUGAAUGAAGUUUGUGGAAUCCAUGCUCUGCUUACAGGGUGGAAACUGGGAAGGUGUUCAACUAAUCGUAAAC